rnacentral:rRNA from 1 species
GAUGAACGCUAGCGACAGGCCUAACACAUGCAAGUCGAGGGGCAGCACAUGAGUAGCAAUACGAUGGUGGCGACCGGCGCACGGGUGAGUAACACGUAUGCAACCUGCCUUCUACUAUGGGAUAACCCGUUGAAAGACGGACUAAUACCGUAUAAUACAGGGGCUCCGCAUGGAGAUAUUUGUUAAAGAUUUAUUGGUAGAAGAUGGGCAUGCGUAUGAUUAGAUAGUUGGUGAGGUAACGGCUCACCAAGUCAACGAUCAUUAGGGGUUCUGAGAGGAAGGUCCCCCCACACUGGUACUGAGACACGGACCAGACUCCUACGGGAGGCAGCAGUGAGGAAUAUUGGUCAAUGGACGAGAGUCUGAACCAGCCAAGUCGCGUGAAGGAAGACGGUUCUAUGAAUUGUAAACUUCUUUUGUGCAGGAAUAAAGUGGGUUACGUGUAACCUUUUGUAUGUACUGUACGAAUAAGGAUCGGCUAACUCCGUG